rnacentral:lncRNA from 1 species
GUGUUCGGUACAGCCUAGCUUCACUGGGAUGAGUUUUGCUAGAGUUAUGAGCAAAUAGUCGAUCGACAAAACCCUUGAACCCCCUCUUCUGACACAAUCGAGCAUCGAAAACCUCUGACUUGGGUCAACUUUAGUGAGGCGUAGCAACCCUUCGGAAGCCCAGCGCGUAAGGCGGCGCCUCGGAACCUUUCACCAGCUCCACUGAGACCACCAGUUUGUCGCGCACUUUAGUGCUUAUGUAAGCGGCAGAUCGACAUCAAGCCGGAUGUUCCACAUUUUAGCCCAGUGUCCAGAGCUAGAACAUUGUGCGUUAUUUUGCCGGACCUGACUACAGAGGAGCCACCGCCAACAGCAAGACAGAUGUCCGGAGUUAUGCUGUGUUAAUUUGCACAUUUUCUGGGAUUAAGUUCGAUAUGCCAUUUUAAGGCCAAUUCUCUGAAAGUUAUGUAUAUGUAUAUUCAAGCAUCGGGAAUAUGAGUGUUUGUAGAAAAG